CCCCGGCCCGCCCCCCGAACCCCGCGGCUCGGGUCAGGUAGGAGAGGGUGGAACACCCGGUGUAGCGGUGGAAUGCGCAGAUAUCGGGUGGAACACCGGUGGCGAAGGCGGCCCUCUGGGCCGAGACCGACGCUGAGGCGCGAAAGCUGGGGGAGCGAACA
rnacentral:rRNA from 1 species